UGGUGUUUCCUUUCUCGUGGGAACUCCACCUUGCUGCAGCGUGUCCAUGAGGGAGAGCGCAUGUAGCCGCCUUUUCCCAGAACUGCCUGCUGGGAACCUGACACACAAACAAAUGACGGAGUCAACAAAGACUUCAGCCAGCUCCUGGUCCGACAUGUCGGUCAGCUCGGUCAGAUCUAGGAGAUCAAAAUGGACUUCCAAAGAGGACACGCUGCUCAGGGGUUCUAGAGAAUGACAAAGAAAAGAAUCGACAAUGCAAUGCAGAACGAGGGGAGUAUUGUGAGGCUUCCCCACAACGGGCUUCCCCGGAUGGCCUUCACACAAUGCAUCCACUAUUGUGCAGCAAUUUGUCUCUCAUCAGUACACUUUCUGCAUGGCUGACCUACGGUGAGUAAGCGUGAAAGAGGCCCUCUAAUUCUGCAAUGAGCAUGCAACUUCAGUGGAACCUCCAUGGCACGAUGAAGACAAUGAUCACAUGUGUUGGCCCGCUGCUGCCCUACAUGUGAACUAACUCUUGAAAAGGGGAGGCAAGCAUGUGCCAUUUACCGGUUGUAUGUUCAAAAUGGACACAAAAGCACUCAAUUCAAUGUAAAGAAGAAGCAGAAUUGCGUUCUUACCUGGGCU